UGGGGAAUAUUGGACAAUGGGCGCAAGCCUGAUCCAGCCAUGCCGCGUGAGUGAUGAAGGCCCUAGGGUUGUAAAGCUCUUUUGUGCGGGAAGAUAAUGACGGUACCGCAAGAAUAAGCCCCGGCUAACUUCGUGCCAGCAGCCGCGGUAAUACGAAGGGGGCUAGCGUUGCUCGGAAUUACUGGGCGUAAAGGGUGCGUAGGCGGGUCUUUAAGUCAGAGGUGAAAUCCUGGAGCUCAACUCCAGAACUGCCUUUGAUACUGAGGAUCUUGAGUUCGGGAGAGGUGAGUGGAACUGCGAGUGUAGAGGUGAAAUUCGUAGAUAUUCGCAAGAACACCAGUGGCGAAGGCGGCUCACUGGCCCGAUACUGACGCUGAGGCACGAAAGCGUGGGGAGCAAACAGG
rnacentral:rRNA from 2 species